rnacentral:rRNA from 1 species
CCUACGGGAGGCAGCAGUGGGGAAUAUUGGGCAAUGGGCGCAAGCCUGACCCAGCAAAGCCGCGUGAAGGAAGAAGGCUUUCGGGUUGUUAACUUCUUUUAUCAGGGACGAAGCAAGUGACGGUACCUGAUGAAUAAGCCACGGCUAACUACGUGCCAGCAGCCGCGGUAAUACGUAGGGCGCAAGCGUUAUCCGGAUUUACUGGGUGUAAAGGUCGUGUAGGCGGGAGUGCAAGUCAGAUGGGAAAACGAUGGGCUCAACCCAUAGCCUGCCUUUGAAACUGUACUUCUUGAGAGCUGGAGAGGCAAUCGGAAUUCCGUGUGUAGCGGUGAAAUGCGUAGAUAUACGGAGGAACACCAGUGGCGAAGGCGGAUUGCUGGACAGUAACUGACGCUGAGGCGCGAAAGCGUGGGGAGCAAACAGGAUUAGAUACCCUUGUAGUC